rnacentral:rRNA from 1 species
CCUACGGGUGGCAGCAGUGAGGAAUAUUGGUCAAUGGACGAGAGUCUGAACCAGCCAAGUAGCGUGAAGGAUGACUGCCCUAUGUGUUGUAAACUUCUUUUAUAUGGGAAUAAAAUGUUCCACGUGUGGGCUUUUGUAUGUACCAUAUGAAUAAGGAUCGGCUAACUCCGUGCCAGCAGCUGCGGUAAUACGGAGGAUCCGAGCGUUAUCCGGAUUUAUUGGGUUUAAAGGGAGCGCAGGUGGAUUGGUAAGUCAGCUGGGAAAGUUUGCGGGUCAACCGUUGAAUUGCCGUUGAAACUGGCAGUCUUGAGUACAGUAGAGGUAGGCGGAAGUCGUGGUGUAGCGGUGAAAUGCUUAGAUAUCACGAAGAACUCCGAUUGCGAAGGCAGCUUACUGGACUGCAACUGACACUGAGGCUCGAAAGCGUGGGUAUCAAACAGGAUUAGAUACCCCAGUAGUC